rnacentral:rRNA from 1 species
GACGAACGCUGGCGGCGUGCUUAACACAUGCAAGUCGAACGGAAAGGCCCCUUCGGGGGUACUCGAGUGGCGAACGGGUGAGUAACACGUGGGUAACCUGCCCUUGACUUCGGGAUAACUUCAGGAAACUGGGGCUAAUACCGGAUAGGAAUCCUUGCUGCAUGGUGGGGGUUGGAAAGCUUCGGCGGUUUUGGAUGGACUCGCGGCUUAUCAGCUUGUUGGUGGGGUAGUGGCUUACCAAGGCUUUGACGGGUAGCCGGCCUGAGAGGGCGACCGGCCACAUUGGGACUGAGAUACGGCCCAGACUCCUACGGGAGGCAGCAGUGGGGAAUAUUGCACAAGGGGCGGAAGCCUGAUGCAGCAACGCCGCGUGCGGGAUGACGGCCUUCGGGUUGUAAACCGCGUUCAGCAGGGGCGAAGCUUGUGGUGACGGUACCUGCAGAAGAAGCACCGGCUAACUACGUG